rnacentral:rRNA from 1 species
GGCGUGCCUAACACAUGCAAGUCGAACGAGAACGGGUUAAAGUUUACUUUAACUGUCAGCUAAGUGGCGCACGGGUGAGUAAUAUAUAGUUAAUCUGCCCCAAAGAAGAGAAUAAUUGUUGGAAACGACUUGUAACUCUCUAUAUGCCUUUAUUACAUAAGUAAGCAAGGGAAACAUUUAUGGCUUUGGGAUGAGACUGUACGGUAUCAGUUUGUUGGUAAGGUAAUGGCUUACCAAGACUAUGACGCCUAACUGGUUUGAGAGGAUGAUCAGUCACACUGGAACUGAGACACGGUCCAGACUCCUACGGGAGGCAGCAGUGGGGAAUAUUGCACAAUGGAGGAAACUCUGAUGCAGCAACGCCGCGUGGAGGAUGACACAUUUCGGUGCGUAAACUCCUUUUAUAUGAGAAGAUAAUGACGGUAUCAUAUGAAUAAGCACCGGCUAACUCCGUGCCAGCAGCCGCGGUAAUACGGGGGGUGCAAGCGUUACUCGGAAUCACUGGGCGUAAAGAGCAUGUAGGCGGAUAGAUAAGUUGGAAGUGAAAUCCUAUGGCUUAACCAUAGAACUGCUUCCAAAACUGUCUAUCUAGAAUAUGGGAGAGGUAGAUGGAAUUUCUGGUGUAGGGGUAAAAUCCGUAGAGAUCAGAAGGAAUACCGAUUGCGAAGGCGAUCUACUGGAACAUUAUUGACGCUCAGAUGCGAAAGCGUGGGGAGCAAACAGGAUUAGAUACCCUGGUAGUCCACGCCCUAAACGAUGCACACUAGUUGUUGCCUUGCUAGACAAGGCAGUAAUGCAGUUAACACAGUAAGUGUGCCGCCUGGGGAGUACG